rnacentral:rRNA from 1 species
GAAUUUUAUAUAAUUUUUUAUAAAAAAAAUAAAUUAUUUGAUAUAGAAAUUAAGAAAUUAUAUUUUAUUGGGAGGAUAAAAAAAUUAAUAAAACUUUUUUAUAUAGAUAAAAACAUAGAUAUAUGGAAUAAUAAUAGAUUAAUUUUUUAAAAUAUAAAAAUUAAAUUAGAAUUAAUUACCUUAGGGAUAACAGCGUAAAAUUUUUAGAGAGAUCAUAUUUAUAAAAAUGUUUAC